CCGGGCGAUCCGGCAAGUCAUUAUCAGUUGUAUACAUGCUAGUUUGGUUCGGUCUAUGGCCGUUCAUGAGGCUGCCCAAGUACUGGCCGUGCAUGUAGUUCUGCAUGUUGAGGGGGUUAGAUGCAUAGUCGUUAGGAUCCUGCAGAGAUGCCUGGAGUAGGAUAAGGCCAGUUAGUGGGUGUGGUAGUGCAUGCAUGGAUUAGUUUGUUAAUGGCCGAGCAUGGCGGCCUGUUAGUUCGUGCGUGACUUAGUGGCCCGGCCAGGUUGUGCGUGAUGGCCAACAGUCUAUGUAUAUAUAUGUCACACUGAGCAAUGAGAAAAUAGAGGCCGUGAGGGCUCAAGAGAAAAGAUGUAGCACUUGUGGUUGCCAAGAAAGAGUACCUCUCGGCAAAAUAUUGUUCAAGGAAAUGAGAGUAAUGAAGCAAAUAAUGUUGAACGACGGUCACAAGCUGGCUACCUGAUGGAGACUGCCUGGCUAGGACCCUUUCUUUCGUUGAAAAGAAGGAGCCCUGUGGAGAAGGAAGUGUGGGCGAGGGGUGCAUGGAGGCUUCGGGAGUUAGUGGGCUAUCAUGUGAUACCGAUUGGCCUUUGUUUUCUGAUUCUUCAUGGAUUUUAGGGGUCGGAACAAAGUUUCCUUUAUGGAAACAGUGGGGACAAAAAGUUACCUUUUCCGGCCGCUCGCGAGCGCUACCAGGCCAACGGCCGCUAGCCAGACGCAUCCUUAAAAGUAUUCUCAGCACCCUUCCGAGGAAGUAAGACAGGAAUAACUGUAUUUUUA